GAUGAACGCUGGCGGCGUGCCUAAUACACGCAAGUCGAGCGAACAGACGAGGAGCUUGCUCCUCUGACGUUAGCGGCGGACGGGUGAGUAGCACGUGGAUAACCUACCUAUAAGACUGGGAUAACUUCGGGAAACCGGAGCUAAUACCGGAUAAUAUAUUGAACCGCAUGGUUCAAUAGUGAAAGACGGUUUUGCUGUCACUUAUAGAUGGAUCCGCGCCGCAUUAGCUAGUUGGUAAGGUAACGGCUUACCAAGGCAACGAUGCGUAGCCGACCUGAGAGGGUGAUCGGCCACACUGGAACUGAGACACGGUCCAGACUCCUACGGGAGGCAGCAGUAGGGAAUCUUCCGCAAUGGGCGAAAGCCUGACGGAGCAACGCCGCGUGAGUGAUGAAGGUCUUCGGAUCGUAAAACUCUGUUAUUAGGGAAGAACAAAUGUGUAAGUAACUAUGCACGUCUUGACGGUACCUAAUCAGAAAGCCACGGCUAACUACGUG
rnacentral:rRNA from 1 species